UUAAAUUGAAGAGUUUGAUCAUGGCUCAGAUUGAACGCUGGCGGCAGGCCUAACACAUGCAAGUCGAACGGUAACAGGAAACAGCUUGCUGAUUUGCUGACGAGUGGCGGACGGGUGAGUAAUGUCUGGGAAACUGCCUGAUGGAGGGGGAUAACUACUGGAAACGGUAGCUAAUACCGCAUAACGUCGCAAGACCAAAGAGGGGGACCUUCGGGCCUCUUGCCAUCGGAUGUGCCCAGAUGGGAUUAGCUAGUAGGUGGGGUAACGGCUCACCUAGGCGACGAUCCCUAGCUGGUCUGAGAGGAUGACCAGCCACACUGGAACUGAGACACGGUCCAGACUCCUACGGGAGGCAGCAGUGGGGAAUAUUGCACAAUGGGCGCAAGCCUGAUGCAGCCAUGCCGCGUGUAUGAAGAAGGCCUUCGGGUUGUAAAGUACUUUCAGCGGGGAGGAAGGGAGUAAAGUUAAUACCUUUGCUCAUUGACGUUACCCGCAGAAGAAGCACCGGCUAACUCCGUGCCAGCAGCCGCGGUAAUACGGAGGGUGCAAGCGUUAAUCGGAAUUACUGGGCGUAAAGCGCACGCAGGCGGUUUGUUAAGUCAGAUGUGAAAUCCCCGGGCUCAACCUGGGAACUGCAUCUGAUACUGGCAAGCUUGAGUCUCGUAGAGGGGGGUAGAAUUCCAGGUGUAGCGGUGAAAUGCGUAGAGAUCUGGAGGAAUACCGGUGGCGAAGGCGGCCCCCUGGACGAAGACUGACGCUCAGGUGCGAAAGCGUGGGGAGCAAACAGGAUUAGAUACCCUGGUAGUCCACGCCGUAAACGAUGUCGACUUGGAGGUUGUGCCCUUGAGGCGUGGCUUCCGGAGCUAACGCGUUAAGUCGACCGCCUGGGGAGUACGGCCGCAAGGUUAAAACUCAAAUGAAUUGACGGGGGCCCGCACAAGCGGUGGAGCAUGUGGUUUAAUUCGAUGCAACGCGAAGAACCUUACCUGGUCUUGACAUCCACGGAAGUUUUCAGAGAUGAGAAUGUGCCUUCGGGAACCGUGAGACAGGUGCUGCAUGGCUGUCGUCAGCUCGUGUUGUGAAAUGUUGGGUUAAGUCCCGCAACGAGCGCAACCCUUAUCCUUUGUUGCCAGCGGUCCGGCCGGGAACUCAAAGGAGACUGCCAGUGAUAAACUGGAGGAAGGUGGGGAUGACGUCAAGUCAUCAUGGCCCUUACGACCAGGGCUACACACGUGCUACAAUGGCGCAUACAAAGAGAAGCGACCUCGCGAGAGCAAGCGGACCUCAUAAAGUGCGUCGUAGUCCGGAUUGGAGUCUGCAACUCGACUCCAUGAAGUCGGAAUCGCUAGUAAUCGUGGAUCAGAAUGCCACGGUGAAUACGUUCCCGGGCCUUGUACACACCGCCCGUCACACCAUGGGAGUGGGUUGCAAAAGAAGUAGGUAGCUUAACCUUCGGGAGGGCGCUUACCACUUUGUGAUUCAUGACUGGGGUGAAGUCGUAACAAGGUAACCGUAGGGGAACCUGCGGUUGGAUCACCUCCUUACCUUAAAGAA
rnacentral:rRNA from 1 species